rnacentral:rRNA from 1 species
AUCGCCCGGGAACUACGAGCAAAGCUUAAAACCCAAAGGACUUGACGGUACCCCACAUCCACCUAGAGGAGCCUGUCCUAUAAUCGAUAACCCCCGUUUAACCUCACCAUUUUUAGCCUAUCAGCCUGUAUACCUCCGUCGUCAGCUUACCCCGUGAGUGACCCUCAGUGAGCUUAAUGCCCAUACGCCAACACGUCAGGUCAAGGUGCAGCAGAUAAAGUGGAAAGAGAUGGGCUACACUCUCUACUCUAGAAAAUACGGAAGACUAUUCAUGAAACCUAGUCAGAAGGCGGAUUUAGUAGUAAAAAGAGACAAGAGUGCUCUUUUUAACAUGGCACUGGGGUGUGUACACACCGCCCGUCACCCUCUUCAAAGCUAAUAUAUAGUCCUUGACACAUUUAAGCACUACAGAAGAGGCAAGUCGUAACAUGGUAARUAUACCGGAAGGUGUGCUUGGAAA